GACGAACGCUGGCGGCGUGCUUAACACAUGCAAGUCGAACGGAAAGGCCCUGCUUUUGUGGGGUGCUCGAGUGGCGAACGGGUGAGUAACACGUGAGUAACCUGCCCUUGACUUUGGGAUAACUUCAGGAAACUGGGGCUAAUACCGGAUAGGAGCUCCUGCUGCAUGGUGGGGGUUGGAUAGUUUCGGCGGUUGGGGAUGGACUCGCGGCGUAUCAGCUUGUUGGUGGGGUAGUGGCUUACCAAGGCUUUGACGGGUAGCCGGCCUGCGAGGGGGACCGGCCACAUUGGGACUGAGAUACGGCCCAGACUCCUACGGGAGGCAGGAGUGGGGAAUAGUGCACAAUGGGCUGAAGCCUGAUGCAGCAACGCCGCGUGCGGGAUGACGGCCUUCGGGUUGUAAACCGCUGUCGCCUGUGACGAAGAGUGAGUGACGGUAAUGGGUAAAGAAGCACCGGCUAACUACGUG
rnacentral:rRNA from 1 species